CUUGUUUCCGAUUGUGCUACUGUGUAGAGCUGCUGAAGGUUUUUUCAUUUGAAAAUGCCGGUUUGCGUUGUUUACGGGUGUACUAACCGUUGGAAUAGUGCUACCAAGUUAAAAGGAAUCACGUUCCAUGCAUUUCCGAUCAAUGAAGCUCGUAGGGCUCUGUGGGUUCAUAUGGUAAGAAGGAAAGACUGGAUACCUAACAAAUGGAGCAAAAUAUGUUCCCAGCAUUUUCGAGAAGAAGAUAUUGACCGAACUUCAGUUUCGAGUGUUCGGAUCAGGGAAAAUGCUGUACCAUCAAUUUUUCCUGCCUUUCCACCUCACUUACAAAAGGAACAGAAGAAGAGACGACCACCAACACAAAG